GGUAUAACCACAACAUAGUAGUAGUAGUUACCAUAAUUUUUACUUCGUAUACUCCCCGGCUCAGUUUGUUAACCGGGGUUGGUUACAAUCUUGAUAGUUUAUAUUGAUAACAUGAAAUUUGAUUAAAUUUGAAAUUGAGUUUUAAAUUAUAUGCAAUUGUACUUGUUAGCAAAAAUACCAACUGCAUUUCUGUUCAACAUUAAACAAAACAAUUUUUACCAUAGAAAUCUUAGUAGAGCACAGAUUAUUCAAAACUUUAGAAAUCCGAAAUUUUAAUACUGAUAUUGUACACUCCAUAGUCUGUGUGAAGACAGAAAAUUUGUAAAAUCUGAAAAAUUGAAUACCUCUGCUACAUUCAGUAUAUCCAUCUUUUGAACAAUAUUUGCUAUCCUUAUAAAUAAAUAAGAUAUUUAAUACACUGGUUAUAUAUAAUGUGUUUAACCAAUAUUUAAAUUAUUAUACAAC